rnacentral:lncRNA from 1 species
ACUGCCAGGACUUAAUGCGUUGCACAUUGCUGGGGCAUGCGAACACACACACACACACACACGCACGCACGCACGCACGCACGCACGCACGCACAGUACAUAGUGACACUACACACACUCGCACAAACAGCUACACGUUUGUUUGAGCAUUUUUUUCCUCUUUCUCCAAAAUAGACACACCACGGUUGCUACAACAGUAGGACAAAAUUUACACAACAGACUAACGCUGUAGAAGCAGAUCGUCUUACAUGGGAAAGAGAUCUACACUCAUACUUGUUAAAAAAAUUGAGGGUGGGGGAGUACUUGAGAAUAUUACGGACAUUUGCUUUUUUGAUUCAGUUGUUCCCCCCCACACUCUGGGCAUCAUGGCCUGGGAAGAAAAGAAAAAGCGCCAUACAGAGAUAUAAACAAGACAAAGACACAGUGCGAGUGAGCGAUGGAGAGUCAGCCAGCAGCGGGGACGAAGACACAGAGACGGUGUGGAUGCAAAGUGAAGCACGAGCACCAUGGGGACUCUUUUUGCUCAGCGAACGACUAAACAAACUUUCUGAGGCCACCUCAACAUGCCCAUAAACUGGUACAGACCAUUUAUUCCUUCAUUGCAAACUGGAAGCAAUCAGCAUUCUGCACUGCAGAACACCUUCAACAGGACAAAACCCAGAUGACUCUACUCUGACUAUAAAAUAGAUUUCCCCAACAUCAAUAACUGAAGUGUAC